rfam:Talaromyces stipitatus ATCC 10500 scf_1105507295541 genomic scaffold, whole genome shotgun sequence.
GCCCGCUUGGCGCAAUGGUAGCGCAACAGGUUUCUAUCAUGGAAAACCCUGUAGGUUGCGGUUUCGAGUACCGUGGCGGGUU